UGAUAUUAAGUAUGAGGUAGAUGGGGAGACAUAUAAUCUUAACCCUACCCACGCAUCUGUUUAAAUACAAGUCUUGUUCUAUUCUAAGUGUUCACACCUGAUUCCUGAAGGCACCAUGAAGACACUGACUGUCCUUCUCCUUGUGGGGCUUCUGGCCCUUUGUACAGAAUUACCCUCUGCAACUUGUUACAGAAUAGGGAUGUGCCCAGGAAAUCCAUUUCGGUGCUCCAUGCCAGGAAUUAGUCGUUGCAGGAGUAACUAUGACUGCCCACGUAACCUCCAGUGCUGCAACUACAGUUGUGCCAGGGUCUGCAGAGCUCCACCACCAGGUAUAUUCAUCAAUGACUGACAUUUCAAGUGAUAUCUUGGUACUGCCCACGAAAUCCAUUUAGGUGCACUGUCCCAGGAAUUGAUCGUUGCAGAACUGACUAUGACUGCCCAGGAAGACAAAGGUGUUGCUACUACAAUUGUGCCAGGUCCUGCA